UACGAAGGGGGCUAGCGUUGUUCGGAUUUACUGGGCGUAAAGCGCACGUAGGCGGAUCGUUAAGUCAGGGGUGAAAUCCUGGAGCUCAACUCCAGAACUGCCUUUGAUACUGGCGAUCUUGAGUCCGGGAGAGGUGAGUGGAACUGCGAGUGUAGAGGUGAAAUUCGUAGAUAUUCGCAAGAACACCAGUGGCGAAGGCGGCUCACUGGCCCGGUACUGACGCUGAGGUGCGAAAGCGCGGGGAGCAAACAGG
rnacentral:rRNA from 1 species